CUGUAAUUUACUUGAUCUUGACGCAUCCUACAUGGAUAACUGCGGUAAUUCUGGAGCUAAUACAUGCAGCAAAGCUCUGCCCCUCGCGGGAAGAGUGCAUUUAUUAGAAGAAAACCAAGCGAGCUCACGCUCGUCCCUGUGGUUGACUCAGAAUAACUCAAGCUGAUCGCACGGUCUCGCACCGGCGACGUGUCUUUCAAGUGUCUGCCUUAUCAACUUUCGAUGGUAGUGUAUCUGACUACCAUGGUUGUGACGGGUAACGGAGGAUAAGGGUUCGACUCCGGAGAAGGGGCCUGAGAAAUGGCCACUACGUCUAAGGAUGGCAGCAGGCGCGCAAAUUACCCACUCUCGGUACGAGGAGGUAGUGACGAAAAAUAACGAGACUGUUCUCACAAGAGGCCAGUCAUCGGAAUGGGUACAAUCUAAACCCUAUAACGAGUAUCUAUGAGAGGGCAAGUCUGGUGCCAGCAGCCGCGGUAAUUCCAGCUCUCAAAAUGCAUAGAAUUAUUGCUGCGGUUAAAAAGCUCGUAGUUGGAUCUCUGCCGGCGGGCGAGUCCCCCCUCGCGGGGCGGUACUCUGCCUCCGUCGGCUACUCGGCUGGGCUGGGGCGUGCGCUGUGGCCGCAAGGCUGCACGCCUCUCUGCUCAGCGCGUUUACUUUGAACAAAUCAGAGUGCUC
rnacentral:rRNA from 1 species